rnacentral:rRNA from 1 species
GUGGGGAAUAUUGGACAAUGGGGGGAACCCUGAUCCAGCCAUGCCGCGUGUGUGAAGAAGGCCUUUUGGUUGUAAAGCACUUUAAGCGAGGAGGAGGCUACCGAGAUUAAUACUCUUGGAUAGUGGACGUUGCUCGCAGAAUAAGCACCGGCUAACUCUGUGCCAGCAGCCGCGGUAAUACAGAGGGUGCGAGCGUUAAUCGGAUUUACUGGGCGUAAAGCGUGCGUAGGCGGCUUUUUAAGUCGGAUGUGAAAUCCCCGAGCUUAACUUGGGAAUUGCAUUCGAUACUGGGAAGCUAGAGUAUGGGAGAGGAUGGUAGAAUUCCAGGUGUAGCGGUGAAAUGCGUAGAGAUCUGGAGGAAUACCGAUGGCGAAGGCAGCCAUCUGGCCUAAUACUGACGCUGAGGUACGAAAGCAUGGGGAGCAAACAGGAUUAGAAACCCCUGUAGUCC